UCAUCGCGCUUGGUGAAAAGCCAGUGGCGCGAAGCUACCGUGCGCUGGAUUAUGACUGAACGCCUCUAAGUCAGAAUCCGGGCCAGAAGCGACGCGUUGUCCGCCGCUCGUUUGCCGACCAGCAGUAGGGGCCCUCCGGCCCCCCAAAGGCACGUGUCGUUGGCUAAGCCCUCGCGGCGGACGAGCCGCGCGGGCCGCCUUGAAUUACAAUUUCCACCGGGCGGCGGACUGAAUCCUUUGCAGACGACUUAAAUACGCGACGGGGUAUUGUAAGUGGCAGAGUGGCCUUGCUGCCACGAUCCAUUGAGAUUCAGCCCUUCGUCGCUCCGAUUCGU
rnacentral:ncRNA from 1 species